rnacentral:rRNA from 1 species
AGAGUUUGAUCCUGGCUCAGGACGAACGCUGGCGGCGUGCUUAACACAUGCAAGUCGAACGGGAUUAGGUUGGAAAGGCUUCGGCCCGGAAGACAUAAUUCGAGUGGCGGACGGGUGAGUACGCGUGAGCAACCUGUCCCAGACAGGGGGAUAACACUUGGAAACAGGUGCUAAUACCGCUAAGACCACGGGGUCACAUGGCUCUGGGGUAAAAGGAGCAAUCCGGUUUGGGGUGGGCUCCGUCCGAUUAGAUAGUUGGUGAGGUAACGGCCCACCAAGUCGACGAUCGGUAGCCGACCUAGAGGGUGAUCGGCCACAUUGGAACUGAGAGACGGUCCAAACUCCUACGGGAGGCAGCAGGGGGAAUAUUGGGCAAUGGGCGAAAGCCUGACCCAGCAACGCCGCGUGAGUGAAGAAGGCUUCGGGUUGUAAAGCUCUGUUAUAGGGGACGAAGGAAGUGACGGUACCCUAUAAGGAAGCCCGGCUAACUACGUGCCAGCAGCCGCGGUAAUACGUAGGGGGCGAGCGUUGUCCGGAAUGCUGGGCGUAAAGGGCGUGUAGGCGGCCGAUUAAGUCUGGAGUGAAAGUCCUGCUUUUAAGUGGGAAUUGCUUUGGAUACUGAUUGGCUUGAGUGCGGAAGAGGUAAGUGGAAUUCCCAGUUAGCGGUGAAAUGCGUAGAGAUUGGGAGGAACACCAGUGGCGAAGGCGACUUACUGGGCCUAACUGACGCUGAGCGCGAAAGCGUGGGGAGCGAACAGGAUUAGAUACCCUGG